GGGUCAGUAGGUUGGUCGUGCCACAGGUACGUACUGGACUCACUGAUUCCUCCUUCCUGAAGAACCGUAAUGCCAUUAAUUUGGUGUUGCGGGGAAACAGGACUGUUACUUUGAAAAAAUUAGAGUGUUUAAAGCAAGCUAACGCUUGAAUACAUUAGCAUGGAAUAAUGAAAUAGGACGAUCGAUCCUAUUUUGUUGGUUUCUAGGAUUGACGUA
rnacentral:rRNA from 1 species